rnacentral:rRNA from 1 species
UGGGGAAUUUUGCACAAUGGGGGAAACCCUGAUGCAGCGACGCCGCGUGUACGAUGAAGAUCUUCGGAUUGUAAAGUACUGUCCUUGGUGAAGAUAAUGACUGUAACCAAGAAGCAAGCCCUGGCUAAAUACGUGCCAGCAGCCGCGGUAAUACGUUUGGGGCAAGCGUUGUCCGGAAUUAUUGGGCGUAAAGGGUACGUAGGCGGUUAUUUAAGUCUAAAUUAAAAGGCAUUGGCUCAACCAAUGUAAGGUUUAGAUACUGGAUAACUUGAGUAGAUGAGGGGAAAGUGGAAUUCCAUGUGUAGCGGUGAAAUGCGUAGAUAUAUGGAGGAACACCAAUGGCGAAGGCAACUUUCUGGAAUCAAACUGACGCUGAGGUACGAAGGCGUGGGGAGCAAACAGG